GACGAACGCUGGCGGCGUGCUUAACACAUGCAAGUCGAACGGAAAGGCCCUGCUUUUGUGGGGUGCUCGAGUGGCGAACGGGUGAGUAACACGUGAGUAACCUGCCCUUGACUUUGGAUAACUUCAGGAAACUGGGGCUAAUACCGGAUAGGAGCUCCUGCUGCAUGGGGGGGGUUGGAAAGUUUCGGCGGGUGGGGAUGGGCUCGCGGCUUAUCAGCUUGUUGGUGGGGUAGUGGCUUACCAAGGCUUUGACGGGUAGCCGGCCUGAGAGGGUGACCGGCCACAUUGGGACUGAGAUACGGCCCAGACUCCUACGGGAGGCAGCAGUGGGGAAUAUUGCACAAUGGGCGGAAGCCUGAUGCAGCAACGCCGCGUGCGGGAUGACGGCCUUCGGGUUGUAAACCGCUUUCGCCUGUGACGAAGCGUGAGUGACGGUAAUGGGUAAAGAAGCACCGGCUAACUACGUG
rnacentral:rRNA from 1 species